rnacentral:lncRNA from 7 species
AGAUAUUGUUCCAGUAUGUGUAACAAGGGGUCGCAUCAAGCCAACUUACAUCAGUUGUGCUCCAUUAUAUCACGAACUGAGCAAAUGGAUCCAAAUAUACAGGACCUUAUGAGAUACUGGUCAUGAAGUGCCAUCAUGGAAACCUCUGCAAGAAGCUCAAGCUUCAGGAAUCCUAAGCAUCACCGGUCCAAACAAAUUUUGAACUUUCAAGCUGGGAAGGGAGAAAGCAUUUUCUUCUUGAUUUUACUCCAGGUAAAUCCCCAAGGGAGCACGUGUCUCAUUUGCAGUAGUUGAAUAAUAGAGAUUGAUGGGUUAAUCAGUUCCCAUACCAUUUAUGGAGUAAUGCUGUGCGCUCAUAGAUGAAGUCUUCAUGUUUCUCAAGUCUGCUGUUUCAAAGAUGAGAGCACAGGACAGCUUCAUACAGACAGAUGCACUAAGGAGAGCAUCCCUGUGUGUCCCCCCCAGCUAAAGCACAUUGGGCUGAUCCCGCUUUUGACAGUGCGAGUACUGAAGUCAGUCCUGCAUCACCACCAGUUCACAGACUGGAAAAGUGGAGAAACACCUGCUUGCUGCAGAGGAUCUGCUAAGGAAGUCCAAAGGGAAACUAUGCACAGAGGGGAAGAGCACAGGCCAAGUGAAACAGAACCAUGUGGGUCAUCGUUAUGCUGUUCCAGGUAGGACUGUGGAUACCAAAGCAGGGAUGGGGUGACGGGGUGACCGAAGGAACAAAGGAACAGGCCCACAACCACAACAUCAUAGCAGGAAUUUUACUUACCUUCAGCCUCAAGAGGACAGAGAUUGAGGGGAAUGACAAAGAGAAACAAAAGAUAAGAACUUUUCCCAGGACAAAGGGAUGUUACUAUUUAUGAACCUGCAAGAGAAUUAGAGCUGAAAUACUUAGAC